GAUGAACGCUGGCGGCGUGCCUAAUACAUGCAAGUCGAGCGAACAGACGAGGAGCUUGCUCCUCUGACGUUAGCGGCGGACGGGUGAGUAACACGUGGAUAACCUACCUAUAAGACUGGGAUAACUUCGGGAAACCGGAGCUAAUACCGCAUAAUAUAUUGAACCGCAUGGUUCAAUAGUGAAAGACGGUUUUGCUGUCACUUAUAGAUGGAUCCGCGCCGCAUUAGCUAGUUGGUAAGGUAACGGCUUACCAAGGCGACGAUGCGUAGCCGACCUGAGAGGGUGAUCGGCCACACUGGAACUGAGACACGGUCCAGACUCCUACGGGAGGCAGCAGUAGGGAAUCUUCCGCAAUGGGCGAAAGCCUGACGGAGCAACGCCGCGUGAGUGAUGAAGGUCUUCGGAUCGUAAAACUCUGUUAUUAGGGAAGAACAAAUGUGUAAGUAACUAUGCACGUCUUGACGGUACCUAAUCAGAAAGCCACGGCUAACUACGUG
rnacentral:rRNA from 1 species